UGGCAAACCCAAGGGGCAAAUCCAUUGUGUCUCUUCUCUGCUGCAGCAUCAUCAGGAUUCUCAUCUUCAACAAUUAGUGCACCUUCAGCAACUGCUGGUCAACUUCACUUCCCAAAUUCAACAAUUCUCCACCACCAAUUAUCUCCUUCCGUCAACAAUCCCAGCAACAUCUCCCAUUUCUAUUGUAGGGGCUGAAAGAUCUAACAUCCUUUUCUUUGGUUUAGAAAAGAGCAGAUGGGUAAGCAGGCAAAGAAAAGGACAAGAAUGGAAGUUAAAUCCAUAUUUUUCACUGCAAUAUUCAGCAUUUAUUUUUCUUGUAAUGCUCAUUAAACUAGAGAAUUGAAGCCCUGAUGGUCGGAGUAAUCAUGAAAAUUUUUGCUGAAGGAUAUGUAACCCUAUUUCCAUGCUGUGCCUAUCUUUUUAUUUGUAUGUAGCUCUAUUGGCAUCCAUCUUAUGUUGUGCAUGUUAGAACGAAGUCAGGCCGCAUGUGAAUUAUAUCUGGGUUUACCUGUAUCUUUAUACUCGGACGGAAAAUGUAUAAAAAUUUGUUUCUCCAAGGCUUCAGUGCAAUGCAUGCUUUUGUUCUUAUCACUGGAGUGCAAAUUGUUUUAAGAACUGUUGAUGAACCAAUGCUAUAUGCAUCCCGG
rnacentral:misc_RNA from 1 species